GAUGAACGCUGGCGGCGUGCUUAACACAUGCAAGUCGAACGAUGAAGCCCAGCUUGCUGGGUGGAUUAGUGGCGAACGGGUGAGUAACACGUGAGUAACCUGCCCUCAACUCUGGGAUAAGCCUGGGAAACUGGGUCUAAUACCGGAUAGGAGCGUCCACCGCAUGGUGGGUGUUGGAAAGAUUUAUCGGUUUUGGAUGGACUCGCGGCCUAUCAGCUUGUUGGUGAGGUAAUGGCUCACCAAGGCGACGACGGGUAGCCGGCCUGAGAGGGUGACCGGCCACACUGGGACUGAGACACGGCCCAGACUCCUACGGGAGGCAGCAGUGGGGAAUAUUGCACAAUGGGCGCAAGCCUGAUGCAGCGACGCCGCGUGAGGGAUGACGGCCUUCGGGUUGUAAACCUCUUUCAGUAGGGAAGAAGCGAAAGUGACGGUACCUGCAGAAGAAGCACCGGCUAACUACGUG
rnacentral:rRNA from 1 species